CUCUCUCUCUCUCUCCCUCUCUCCAAUUAUUUUUCUACACAAUUUACAAUUAACAACUUACAACAGGCUUGAAAGAUCUGCAACACCUAAAAAUGUUCCUUUUCAGCCUAGUUAAUUUUGGUGCAGUGGCGCAUGAUGUCUCUACUCCAUUGUUUUUAGUAUGCAUUUUUAUACUUCAUGAUCUCAAACAUUAACUUCCUAUAUACCUGGAGUCUAUUCUCACAUUUGCUCUUAAUUUUUGUUAUUUUAUGUUUAAAUCUGCUAACUGAUACAUUUGGUGUCUGGAACAGAUGGCCAUCUAUUCUUAUAAAGUAAUUUUUCUUCAUAAUUAUCUUUAUGUGAAAUUAAUGGUUUUUUAAUAUUAGCUUGCUGGCCAAAAGUUUGAUCCUGAGUUGGUGGUCUACAAUGCUGGCACUGAUAUCCUAGAUGGAGAUCCACUAGGCAGGCUGAAGAUCAGUCCUGAUGGAAUAACUGCCAGAGACGAGAAGGUUUUCAUGUUUGCCCGUGAAAGGAAUGCUCCUCUUGUCAUGCUGACAUCAGGUCCUGUGAUAUUUCUAAGAAUCUUCAAAUUAGUGCACCAGCUUCAAUACUCAAAAGUUGCGUCUGCUUUUACUUGUGCUCACCUAAUUCCUCAGCCAAGUCCAUUGAGAGAAAAAUGGCUCAUUACAAAGAAUCAUCUUUUGAUCUUCAUGCUUCAUUUGUUAGUGCUUGUCAAUUUUGCAGUCUCAGGCUCCCUAAUCACUUUGCUUCACUCACUGAGACGCAUCCCCUUAAUUAAUUCUAACUAAUUCAUUUAUAGGACUUGAAAAAAAAAAAUCAACAGGAAAACUGCAAAUUGCUCAAAUUGCAUGAAGAUUAAUGUCCAUGGAAAUGUCUUUCAUUUUUGGAUGGAUAACACCUGAAACUGUGCAGAUGAAUGGCACCUGGAUUUAUCCAGAUUGACAAGCAUUUUCUGUGUGUAUUGCACAUUGAAUUGGCAAUGAACUAGGUUUUUUCAUGCAUCCCUUGAUCCUAGAGGACAAGAAAGUGACGUUUCAUGUUGUGACCUAUUGCAUUAGUUUUGCGGCUAUGAAUAGGAAAGUAACGUGUCUUCUUUUAUAUGUUGUCUUAUUUUAGAUGAAGAAAAUCAGAGGAAAAAUACCAAAGUAAAUUCAAAUAUAUUACAGAUCUUGUUGGAUAUCUUUGAUCCAUAUGGGACAUUCAAGAUUGAAGUGAUAAUAUCUUAGAUCUUGUUGGAUAAUUUUAUGCUGUUUGAUAAUUUUUUUUCUUGUUUCAGGUGGUUAUACGAAGACCAGUGCUAGAGUUAUUGCAGAUUCAAUAGUAAACCUCUCAAAAAAGUGCUUGAUUGAUUUUCACCGUUCCAGGUGAAAAUUUAACAGCUGUGUUGAUUCUCUCUUUCUGUGAUAUACAUAUGACAAAAACUCGUUUGUUCACAACUAUUCAGAUUAUUAUGAUUGUAUAUAAGCAAAUAAUGAGGAAAAUUUGUAAAGCAAAGAACGAUGUAUUUACAAAGAUCAUUAUAUAAUGUAGGGAUAAUUACUCAUGCCUGUAACC
rnacentral:misc_RNA from 1 species